GUUUAUAUAGUUUAACAAAAACAAUGGUCUUGUAAACCAUAUUUAGAUUAUAUCUUUUAAACU
rnacentral:tRNA from 1 species